UGAUCCUGCUGCCUCAGCCUCUUGAGAAACUGGGAUUAUAAGUGUGUACUCCCACCUAGUCAGAAGCUGAAUUCUUUUGAUCACUACUAUAAUCAAGAUAACCAAAUAAUCAUUUAUAGGGGAUACUCUAUAGUUCAUAGAUGUUUAUCAAUCUGAAAAAGUGAUCAAUUUGGAAUUCAUUCAUAAUAACAUACAUCACUAAAAUCAUUACCAAAUAAUAUCUGUAAGUUUUAUCAUCUAUUUACUCUCCCCCUCCUUCUUCUGAGGGCCUUGCACAUGUUAGGCAAAUACUAUACCACUGAACUAUACCCCAGCCUCCAGCCUUCAUUUACAAUAUAUUAAGACAAUAUAAUAGUCAUUUGAAUUUUAGAAUCUAAUAUGAACCUAUGCUAAUCACCAAUUCUAGUAGGCUUUACAGAGACUACAGGCAAAAUAUUGUCAUUUGAAAAAAAUGAAUGACAUCAAAUAAUCUAACCACUACCAAAUCACCAAGGAAAUGAGGGGCCAAGGGCAAGUGGACACCCAGCAAAGAAUACUAUUUACCUCUUGAAGGCUGUGGCCUAGCACAAUGAUAGGGACCAGAAUGACAUGGUUGUAUUUUACCAAUGCUGGUGUAAUGAACGUACCCAAUCCCAGCAAGGAUCACCUGCACUGUUAUCUUAAACAUUGGUCCAGAAAAAGGAACUCUUAGGAACUUAUCAUUCUUUCUUCCAUUCCUAUUUCUCCAUUUGGGAUGGCAAUGUCUAUUCUUUGUACCAAAGGCACAUCCUAUGCAUCUUUUUCUUUUUAAUAGAAAUAAGUAUCUUAUACCGAGGCCUAUUCCAUAUAUUUUGGAAGCACAGAACUCGCUGCACAUGUUCACAGCUAAAGAGGAAUUCUGCUUCAGUGUAUGAAUCUCCUGUGGACAGGAACUUUGUUUUGCUCACUGUUCUCUUCUGAAUGCCUAUAAUAUACCUGAGAACCAAAGAACUCUCUACCUCUACCUUGUGGGAGAAAAUAUAUUCAUAUGACUCUGCUAAAAGACUAUCAUCGAGCCACUGAACAAAAAACAUAUCAAGGUUCUACCUUAAGAAUUAGCAGAGACUAUUACAAAGCUACAUAUUUUAUGACAAAAGAACUUCAGUGGGCACAUAUGAGAAGAAACAUUAAAACAAACCAUCUAUAGAAGGGAAAAAAAGAGAUCAAAAACUAGCAAAGAAUGGGUGAAGAUGAAGAGAAUUUCCCCCUAAACCUGUUCAAUAGCUAGAAUUCUUCCAGUGGUUCUUUACAUAAUGGACAUUAACACCAUAUUGGAAAGUUACUCUAAUUAUAAUAUAUAUAAAACUAAAUACUUGAAUGGUUAUAAAUCAUUAAGGCAUCUAGGGUAUUUCUAUAAAGGUAUUUCUGUGGAGCAUAAGAGAUAAACAAAUUUAAUUAUAGACUUUAAUGAUGAGAUGAUUUUAAACCAACCUGAAACAACUUUAAAAAACCAGGAAGAGUGCCUGGUGUGGUAGUGCACACCUGUAAUCCCAGCAACUCAGGAGGUCAAGGCAGGAGGAUCUCAAAUACGAGGGCAGCCUCAACAAUCUAGCAAGGCUCUGUCUCAAAAUAUAAAAUUAAAAGGACUAGGGAUGUAGCUUAAUGGUAAAACACCCUAGGUUCGAUUCCCUGUAUCAAAAAUAACAAUACAGAGAAUAGGAAUAUUAUAGUAUAUAGCUCAGUAAUUAAAUGUAGCCUGUGUGAGAUUAUUAGCAAAAAGGAAACACGUCCACCAAGUUAAUAAGAUAUAACUAUGGUAAAGCAGUAUAUUUACUACAGAUGUGAAUUCUCAAAUAUAUAGGGUGUAAGUGGAGUAAGUUUCAGGAAUUAUUCAAGACCAGAAUGGAUAAGAAAAGGAACAUGUAAGGGCACACAGACAAUCAUGUCUAAAGAAGCCAUGAACUAUUUGCUAUAUUUGGGCUCCAACUAUUUUACUAACAAUUUUUUGUUGUUGUUGUUGGGGGCAGCAGGGGUUCUGGGGACUGAAUCCAUGGGUGCUUUAUUAAAGUAGCUUCACUCCCAGCCUUUUAAAUUUUUUUUCUUCUGAGAUGGCACCUUGCUAAAUUGUAUAGGCUGGCCAUGAACUUGCUAUCAUCCUAACUCAGCCUUCCAAAUAGCUGCAAAUUACAAGUAUGAGCUACCAGGCCCCACUAAAUGUUGUUCUUGAUAGAGGUUUACUUUAUUAUAUACACAAUGUUCUUUGCUUUUAGGUAAAUUAGAAAAGUCCCCAACACUAUAUCAUAUUCUUUUAUCAACAUGGUGACACUUGGCUGGCCCCUAGUGGUAGGAAUACAUAUAAGUUUGAAGUACCAAAAGUGGUUCUACCAAUCACAGCUACCAAUACAGUAAAAGGCACUAACCACAUGUGCUAUUAAAAUGGAUAAACUGAUAUGUUGUAAAUUGAAAAUAAAUGGAUUUUGCCAGGCACAGUGGCACAUGCUUAUGAUCCCAAUGAUUCAGGGGGCUGAAGCAGAUGGACAGCAAGCUCAAGGCCAGCCUCAGCAACUUAGCCAGAAUUUGUCUCAAAAAAAAAAAAAAAAAUUAGAAAGGGCUUCGAGCAUAGCUCAGUGGUAAAGCACCCCAGGUUCAAUCUCUAGUGCCUUAAAAAAAUUAAAAAUUAAAAAAAAAUUUCAAAGACUUGAUAGAGAAAAGAAAUGAAAAAUGUAUCAGCAAUCUUUUUGAUGACAGGUUAAUAAUGCUUUGGAUAUACUGGGUUAUUAAAGCAUAUUGUGAAUAUUUCUAUUUUACCUUUUCAUGUGGCUACUAGAAAAUGAUAACUACAUAUCUGCCUUGCAUUUGUGGAUUGCACUGUUUCUACUGAAAACAGUACUCAUCAGAUAUAUCAUAAAAACAUUACACUGAGCAGGGUCUGGCCAUACAUGGUCAGUGAUACAUAGUCAGUGAUAGAGCAUAUGGCUGAUCAAGACCCUGGGCUCAAUCCCAGACAACAGAACAACAAUAAAAACAACACAAACACACUGUGUAAAAACCAAUUGUGAAAUGGUACUACAAAAUAUUAGAUAAAACUUGAAAACAUACAGAAACGGGUUUUUGUAGGCUUUUGUUUUGAGAUAGGAUCUCACUAUGUUACUCAACCCUCAAACUCUUGGACUCAAGUGAUCUUCUACCUUGGUCUCCCAAAUACCUGGGCCUAUUGGCAUAAAACACUGUACCUGAAACCUACAAGGUGUUUUUUUCUUUUCCUUUUGGCAGUGCUGGGGAACACAGGACCUCAGGUAUGUUUCGUAAGAGCUCUACCACUGAGCUACAUUCCCAAUCCAGGCCCGAAGAUGUGUUCUUUGGGAGCAUAUAAACAUUAAGUUAGCAUAGUAACUCAAGGUUCAAAUAACAAAGCAAAUACAUGUUAGUAGUUAUCUCAAAAGACAGGGAAUGCUCUGAAUGGGUGUGCAGGGCAGUUUCAACUUUACCUGUAAGGUUUCUUUGAAAAAUAAAAAUAAAUUUGAAGUAAAUAUGGUAACAUGUCAAGGUUUAAUAGACAUUAUUAUGCAUCAUUAAAAAUGGGUUAAAAUUAGUAGUAUCUAUUGCUUUCAAAAAUACUGCCAACUGACCUUUUCUUCCACUCCCAAUUCCCAAAGAACUUAUUUGAGCCAGACAAGUUUUUGCUGAUCUCAGAAAAUACUUAUGAAUCUUACCCUUUAGCAUGCCUACAAACCACAAAAACUCAUUUAAAAUUAUUAGCUUAAUCAGCAUAAAUGAUCACCUCAAUCAACUAUGGUUCCCAAAUAUCCGGGACAAACUUUGAAAUCACUUUAUGCUGUCAGCACUUCAGUCACACACCAGUUAAUAAUCUCCAGAGACCAUACUGCCUGCAGAGUCUAAAAUAUAUACUAACUGGCAUGUCAAGAAAAAGCUUGAAAGAUAGAAUGCAUCUUGAAUCUCUUUCUCUAGCAGUACACAAAUCUUUCUAAAUUCACUUCACAGUGAUGGUACUAAAAUUUAUCAAAAUCUCAAUUAAAGACAUUUAGAUUAUUUCUAAUAUUUUGCUAUUAUGUUAAAACUAAUAACUUUGGCAUGAAUAAUUACACAUAGAGAAGCAUAUCUGUAGAAUAGCUUCCCUGAAAGUGAACUGCUAGAAUCAAAAGAUAAGCAUUUGCAUUUCAAGAAGUAUUGCCAAAGUGUCCUCCACAAAGAUUUCCAAUUAUUUUUUCCACCAGCAUAAUUUCCCCACGUUGGGGCUGGGGUUCUGGCUCAGCGAUAGAGCUCUCACCUAGCAUGUGCAAGGCCCUGGGUUCGAUCCUCAGUACUACAUAAAAAUAAAUAAACAAACGUAAUUUCCCCACAUCUUUAUUCAUAGUUUUCUAACUUUUAAAUCUUUGCAAUGUAGUAAGUGAAAAAUACUAUCUUAAUGUAGUUUUUACAUUUGCAUUUUCUUGUAAGAUUGAGCAUCUUAUAUUUAUUUCUAUGAACUGUCUAUUUACAUCACCUUUUUUAUACUGGGUGAUUAAUCUUGAAUGGUUUCUACUGGGUUAUUAUUCUCAAUUUAUGAACACUUGAAAUUUUUACUUGAAAUAAUUUUUAUUUAAAAAAACAUAGCUAUCUUCAUAUAAAUGCUUUCAGGAGAAGGGAGUAAUCUAUUUUCAGCCUUUAAACUACUAAUAUAUUAUUUGACAAUCUACACUUCUUCUAUUUUCUCUUUUAUAAUGGGUUCCUUUAGCUAACAGACUUUUUUCUUGACUUAUAAUUUAUUUAUCUUAAUCUAAGCGGAAAGAAAUGCUUCUUUUAAAGUUAGAAUAUUUUUUCCUAAUGCUCAACUAUGUAAGAGGGGAAAAAAAUUCAACUACUCAACAGUACAUACUUGUAUUUCUUGAAGUACAAGGAAAUGCCAAGACAUCACAGAUUUUCCCCCCAAACAAAAUAUCACUCCAAAUUCUUCUAAAAUAGAGCCAAUAAAAUUAAGAUAUUAAAAAAUACCAUCUAGCCAGGCAUGGUAGCACAUGCCUGUAAUUCCAGCAAGAGGCUAAGGCAGGAGGAUCACAAGUUCAAAGCCAGCCUCAAAA